rnacentral:rRNA from 1 species
CGAACGCUGGCGGCGUGGAUUAGGCAUGCAAGUCGAACGCGAAAGAGGGGGCAACUCCUCGAGUAGAGUGGCGAACGGGUGAGUAACGCGUGAGAAACCUGCCUUCAUCAGGGGGAUAACAGUUCUAACGGACUGCUAAUACCGCAUGAGACCACGGGAUCGCAUGGUCCUGAGGUCAAAGGUGGCCUCUAUUUAUAAGCUACCGGAUGAAGAUGGUCUCGCGUCCCAUUAGCUAGUUGGCGGGUAACGGCCCACCAAGGCGACGAUG